AUUACUGUUAAAAGGCUUCCUCUUCAUUACAUUUUAAUUGUUAUAUUACCGACAAUUCUUACUGCAGUAUUAACGUUUAUUGCAUUUUUUCUACCGCUGAAAUCUGGAACCAGACUUGGAUAUAUUGUUACAGUGGUACUGGCUUUAGUGGUAUUAUUGACAUUAUUUGCAGACACAAUCCCUUCUGCUGCAAAAUUUCCUUCAAUUCUAGUGGCAGUAUUUACGGUAACAUUAGGAAUGGCCUUUCUUUUGAUUGUCAUAACGAUAUUUGUCAUGAGACUUUACAAUAAACCAAAACGCGACGUUGCUCCAAAAUGGAUGCACUCCAUGGUAAGUAAGAUUCGGAGGUUAAAAGUAAAAUUAAAGUUAAAGUUAAAGUGCAGAGCAAGAAAAAUAAAACAUCUUGAACAAAAUAAGGCUAUAGAAGAUGACCGACCGACAGAAGACAUCGACAGCGUAGAGAAAAGUACGCCAUUAAAACCAUACAGCAACCAAGAGCUGGCAGAAUUCUUUGACAAUUUUUUGUUUGUUGCUUUUACAGUUUUAUAUAUUUUGAUUCUUGCAAGUGCACCAGUUGUAGCGAUCAUAUGGAGAAAUAAUUCUAUAGCAAACUAGUGUCGUUAUGGCACAUUUUAAUUUUGUGUUUCGGUCAUCAUACAUCCAUUCAACCACUUAGUUUUUGUAUAUGUUGCUUCACCAAUAAUCAUGUGUAUUAAGUAUUAAUUCGUACAUUUUUAACAGAUUUAUAUAGGUACAACACAAUAGUACACAUAGAUUAUUGGUUCUUCAAUAUUUUAAAUGGUUAUCUCUCUACGGGCAUGACGAAUUUAACUGUCAAAAAUGUACUGAUCGCCAUUGAAAGUAUGUAACAGAAACAUGAAUUAUCAAGUAUUAUGUCAUCUUUUGUAUUCUUGAAUUUUGUUUAAUAUUGUUCAAAUUUGUUAUUUGCCCAAAAUGUGCUUCUAAAGCAAUUAAAUUGGUACCGUUUAUUGUUUUAUUUUGGUCUACCAAGCUUUUAAUAUCUUAUUACACUGUAUAUGUGUUGCUAAUUGUUGCUUAUUUAUAUUCUCGUUAAAACUCUAAUUGACAUGUUCCCAGUACUAACAAUCAUACUACUACUUAUGUUUAUGUAAUGUUUAUUGUCAAAUUUAAUAUUUCGGGAUCAUAUGCUAGACACGAUAUAUAAAUUCGCAGCCCGUUAUUGAAUUGUUUAUUGUUUUUUUUUUAAUUUGUUGUAUAUAUUCUAUUUUUCUAAUAGUGCUUUCUUAUGAUUAGAUAUUUAACACUGAUUAAAUAAAAAAAGAACAUAUCUUCAACAAAAAAAGAUAUAAUGUCAAGGUGAAACGUUCAACUGCAGCAGACUCGGUAGAUAGUAUAACUAUAAUACAAAAUAUUUAUUGUAAAAAGUUUAGAACUUUCCAAAUACUUUAUUUGUAUUUGAAAGGAUUUAUUGAAAUUCACAGGUUUAGACAGAAGUAAAGGGGACAGCUGCCUUUCCCGACACUAGAAAGCAAAUGGAAAGCAAAGGUGUAAUAAUUGUAUAACAUUAAUAGUCUUUUUACUGUUUUUAUUAAUUACCAUUUUGAGCUUGUAUUUUUAGCUGAAAUAAAAUGCUUUGGCCACGA